GGCUCCGUGGUGAAUUUACACGUUGAAUUGCAAAUUCAGAGAAGCAGCUUUAAAUUCUGCCGGGGCUU
rnacentral:tRNA from 1 species